rnacentral:misc_RNA from 1 species
GAUGAAGAACGCAGCAAAAUGCGAUAAGUAGUGUGAAUUGCAGAAUUCAGUGAAUCAUCGAAUCUUUGAACGCACAUUGCGCCCCUUGGUAUUCCAUGGGGCAUGCCUGUUCGAGCGUCAUUGACACCCUCAAGCUCUGCUUGGUGUUGGGCCGUUGUCGUUUCCUCGCCCCCCCGGCGUCACAGCGACACCCCUCAAAGUCAUUGGCGGCUUUCCUGCCCAGCUUUCCCGCGCAGCAGUUCGCGCUUCGGAGACCACUUGGCAGGUUGGCAUCCAUCAAGCUGACCCCUCACGCUUGACCUCGGAUCAGGUAGGGACUACCCGCUGAACUUAAGCAUAUCAAUAAGCGGAGGA